GACGAACGCUGGCGGCGUGCUUAACACAUGCAAGUCGAACGGUGAAGCGCCUUCCUUUUUGGUGGGUGUGGAUGAGUGGCGAACGGGUGAGUAACACGUGAGUAACCUGCCCCCUUCUUCUGGAUAACCGCAUGAAAGUGUGGCUAAUACGGGAUAUUCUGGGUCUGUCGCAUGAUGGGUCUGGGAAAGAUAUUGUUUCGGUGGGGGAUGGGCUCGCGGCCUAUCAGCUUGUUGGUGGGGUGAUGGCCUACCAAGGCGGGGACGGGUAGCCGGCCUGAGAGGGUGGACGGUCACACUGGGACUGGGACACGGCCCAGACUCCUACGGGAGGCAGCAGUGGGGAAUAUUGCACAAUGGGCGCAAGCCUGAUGCAGCGACGCCGCGUGAGGGAUGGAGGCCUUCGGGUUGUGAACCUCUUUCGCCAGUGAAGCAGGCCUGCCUCGUUUGUGGGUGGGUUGACGGUAGCUGGAUAAGAAGCGCCGGCUAACUACGUG
rnacentral:rRNA from 1 species